rnacentral:misc_RNA from 1 species
GAUGAAGAACGCAGUGAAAUGCGAUAAGUAAUGUGAAUUGCAGAAUUCAGUGAAUCAUCGAAUCUUUGAACGCACCUUGCACCCUUUGGCAUUCCGAAGGGUAUGCUCGUUUGAGUGUCAUUGUACUCUCACACUUCCAAUCUUUGGAUUGGGGGCGGUGGACUUGGGUGUUGCUGCUUACUGUGGCUCACCUCAAAUUGAUUCGUGCACCUCUUGGUUGGACAUAGUACGGCGUGAUAAGUGUCUUCGCCGGCACCUCAGUAGAGGGUGGCUGAUCGGGAGCUCUGUGCUUCAAACCGUCCUCGGACAACAACUGACAACUUGACCUCAAAUCGAGUAGGACUACCCGCUGAACUUAAGCAUAUCAAUAAGCGGAGGA